UAACUGCGAUAAAUAACAUGAAUUGCAGGUUUCUGUGAAUCGUCGAAACUUCGAACGCACUGCGCCCGGCAGCAAUGUCGGGCACAUUCGGUUGAGUGACAUUUUAAUCUCUGGAUCCACAAAACUCUUUUGCGGAACCGAUUCUGGCGGUUUGCUAACAACAAUCCGUUAAAAUGCGGCGAAGGAUUAUUUCCUCCGUCGGAUGCAGACUUUUUUCCGGCUUGUGAAGAAAAAGGAAUUUCCAGUUUUUUCACAAAACCCGACCGUCCAGUACGGUAAGGUUGUUGCAUCCCGUGAACCAUACCAUAACUUUAAUUUUUGUCCUCAACUCGAGUGAGAUUACCCGCUGAACUUAA
rnacentral:misc_RNA from 1 species